GUUAGGCUAUUCACUAGGGUAUAAAUGAUGUAAAGACUGCUUGUCCAAUAAGUUGUCAUUCACCGAAAAAUUUUACGCCGUAAGUUUUGAAUAAUUUAAUUUUUACUAUCUUUCAUUCCUAUUCAAAAUAGAAGUUUAAUACAACGUGUUUCAAAAUGUUUUUUAUCUAGUGGCCUAUAGAAUUUUUUUACAUGUAAAUUUAUCUGUGCCGCUGUAUUCUUUUUAAACCAGAUAGUUCUGUCAAUAGUAACAGAUGUCAAUCGAAUAAAUUAACAUUUGAAGUUAAUUACAUUCAAUAUACUUUAAAGCGGCAUUUUUUAUUUUACAUGAAAAAUCCAUAGGCCACUAGAUGAAAACCAUUUUGAAACACGUUGUAUCAUUACGAGCAGAAGUGAGUCUUUUUGUGCUAAGCCCAGUCCAAGUUCAAGCGAAGUGAGGCCGACAACUGGGCGAAGUAAAAGAAGACCUUCUACUCUGAAUGAUAUAUAUUGUAUAUCAUUCAAAGUAGAGGCUCUUCUAGUAUAUGUCCUAUACUAUUUUAUUUCAAGCGGCGUUACUUUUUAACGUUGAACGACCAUCUUGAAGACACAUUAUUUUUUAAAUAAUUCGUGUCGAGCAGCCUCUGUGAACACUUCAACUCCUAGGACCUUAUUAUUUCAACUCCGAUUACAAAAAAAGCCAUUUCAACUGUUUGCACAAAAGUACAAUUUUCGACCGCUUAAAGAUAAAUUAAAGCUUGGCUCUUAAAAACGUUACCAGGUGAAUAAAAAUUUUUUGCUACGAACGAUAAUUUUCCUGCUUUCUGCACGAACACUUUCGAUUUAAAAUUCAUUCAAAAUUCAAAUUGUUGUUGAAUUAUUGCAAAGUUAUCACCAGAUGAAUCUAAAUGGGUCUUCAAAAACAUUUUACUGAAUCGCAUUUGGACUUCUUUUCUAAAAAUUUAGGCAGCAUAAGUGACAAACAGAACGAGCGUUUCCACCAAGAUCUGAAGGGUUUUCGAAGAUCGGCACAGGGGUUUUUAGGAUGAAAAUAUGUUAGGAGAUUACUGUUGCACUAUUUUAGGGAGAAACUGAUUCAAAAAGUACAACACAUUUUUAAUUUGUUGUUUGUCGGUUUUUGUAUUUUUGUUAAGUACAUAUUUCUUAAGCGUGA